rnacentral:rRNA from 1 species
AGUUUGAUCCUGGCUCAGAGUGAACGCUGGCGGCAGGCCUAACACAUGCAAGUCGAACGGCAGCACAGUAAGAGCUUGCUCUUAUGGGUGGCGAGUGGCGGACGGGUGAGGAAUACAUCGGAAUCUACUCUUUCGUGGGGGAUAACGUAGGGAAACUUACGCUAAUACCGCAUACGACCUACGGGUGAAAGCGGAGGACCUUCGGGCUUCGCGCGGUUGAAUGAGCCGAUGUCGGAUUAGCUAGUUGGCGGGGUAAAGGCCCACCAAGGCGACGAUCCGUAGCUGGUCUGAGAGGAUGAUCAGCCACACUGGAACUGAGACACGGUCCAGACUCCUACGGGAGGCAGCAGUGGGGAAUAUUGGACAAUGGGCGCAAGCCUGAUCCAGCCAUGCCGCGUGGGUGAAGAAGGCCUUCGGGUUGUAAAGCCCUUUUGUUGGGAAAGAAAAGCAGUCGGUUAAUACCCGAUUGUUCUGACGGUACCCAAAGAAUAAGCACCGGCUAACUUCGUGCCAGCAGCCGCGGUAA